UAAAGCCUAAAGGGCUGAUUUCUCUCCCGGCCAUCUUCUCCUCGAACGAACAAUCACAGCUCUCUUCAUCUCUUCUUCAACUACCUUUCAAUUUCGCUGUAGCUAGAAUAGAAAUUCACCUGCAUUUAUGGCCUUCUGCUGAUUCAUCGUCUUCUUUGGCGAACACAACCUACGUGUAGAGAGUGAAAUAGGUUUCUUUGCAACUCAUCUACGUGCUUAAAUUAAAGAUGCCACGCAGCUUUGGCUCCCCUACAAGCUUUCUUGGAGGGAAAAGAUGGUCGGUCUUUAUCAUUAAGAGAGGAAGCAGAAGUCUUUCCCGGGAUAUUCUUCUAUAAGCGGCCAACCUCAGUAUUGGCACCACUUUAUAUGAUAUUUUGUACCCGUUGAAACUCAAGGAGUGGCCCAUCACAUUCCUAGUCAAGAACGAAGGCAUCAGGAUAACAGUAAGAGUCUGGAAC